rnacentral:rRNA from 1 species
UUAAGUUAUUAAGGGCGCACGGUGGAUGCCUUGGCACUAGAAGCCGAUGAAGGACGUUACUAACGACGAUAUGCUUUGGGGAGCUGUAAGUAAGCUUUGAUCCAGAGAUUUCCGAAUGGGGAAACCCAGCAUGAGUUAUGUCAUGUUAUCGAUAUGUGAAUACAUAGCAUAUCAGAAGGCACACCCGGAGAACUGAAACAUCUUAGUACCCGGAGGAAGAGAAAGAAAAUUCGAUUCCCUUAGUAGCGGCGAGCGAAACGGGAAGAGCCCAAACCAACAAGCUUGCUUGUUGGGGUUGUAGGACACUCUAUACGGAGUUACAAAGGACGACAUUAGACGAAUCAUCUGGAAAGAUGAAUCAAAGAAGGUAAUAAUCCUGUAGUCGAAAAUGUUGUCUCUCUUGAGUGGAUCCUGAGUACGACGGAGCACGUGAAAUUCCGUCGGAAUCUGGGAGGACCAUCUCCUAAGGCUAAAUACUCUCUAGUGACCGAUAGUGAACCAGUACCGUGAGGGAAAGGUGAAAAGCACCCCGGAAGGGGAGUGAAAUAGAACCUGAAACCGUGUGCUUACAAGUAGUCAGAGCCCGUUAAUGGGUGAUGGCGUGCCUUUUGUAGAAUGAACCGGCGAGUUACGAUUUGAUGCAAGGUUAAGCAGUAAAUGUGGAGCCGUAGCGAAAGCGAGUCUGAAUAGGGCGUUUAGUAUUUGGUCGUAGACCCGAAACCAGGUGAUCUACCCUUGGUCAGGUUGAAGUUCAGGUAACACUGAAUGGAGGACCGAACCGACUUACGUUGAAAAGUGAGCGGAUGAACUGAGGGUAGCGGAGAAAUUCCAAUCGAACCUGGAGAUAGCUGGUUCUCUCCGAAAUAGCUUUAGGGCUAGCCUCAAGUGAUGAUUAUUGGAGGUAGAGCACUGUUUGGACGAGGGGCCCCUCUCGGGUUACCGAAUUCAGACAAACUCCGAAUGCCAAUUAAUUUAACUUGGGAGUCAGAACAUGGGUGAUAAGGUCCGUGUUCGAAAGGGAAACAGCCCAGACCACCAGCUAAGGUCCCAAAAUAUAUGUUAAGUGGAAAAGGAUGUGGCGUUGCCCAGACAACUAGGAUGUUGGCUUAGAAGCAGCCAUCAUUUAAAGAGUGCGUAAUAGCUCACUAGUCGAGUGACACUGCGCCGAAAAUGUACCGGGGCUAAACAUAUUACCGAAGCUGUGGAUUGUCCUUUGGACAAUGGUAGGAGAGCGUUCUAAGGGCGUUGAAGCAUGAUCGUAAGGACAUGUGGAGCGCUUAGAAGUGAGAAUGCCGGUGUGAGUAGCGAAAGACGGGUGAGAAUCCCGUCCACCGAUUGACUAAGGUUUCCAGAGGAAGGCUCGUCCGCUCUGGGUUAGUCGGGUCCUAAGCUGAGGCCGACAGGCGUAGGCGAUGGAUAACAGGUUGAUAUUCCUGUACCACCUAUAAUCGUUUUAAUCGAUGGGGGGACGCAGUAGGAUAGGCGAAGCGUGCGAUUGGAUUGCACGUCUAAGCAGUAAGGCUGAGUAUUAGGCAAAUCCGGUACUCGUUAAGGCUGAGCUGUGAUGGGGAGAAGACAUUGUGUCUUCGAGUCGUUGAUUUCACACUGCCGAGAAAAGCCUCUAGAUAGAAAAUAGGUGCCCGUACCGCAAACCGACACAGGUAGUCAAGAUGAGAAUUCUAAGGUGAGCGAGCGAACUCUCGUUAAGGAACUUGGCAAAAUGACCCCGUAACUUCGGGAGAAGGGGUGCUCUUUAGGGUUAACGCCCAGAAGAGCCGCAGUGAAUAGGCCCAAGCGACUGUUUAUCAAAAACACAGGUCUCUGCUAAACCGUAAGGUGAUGUAUAGGGGCUGACGCCUGCCCGGUGCUGGAAGGUUAAGAGGAGUGGUUAGCUUCUGCGAAGCUACGAAUCGAAGCCCCAGUAAACGGCGGCCGUAACUAUAACGGUCCUAAGGUAGCGAAAUUCCUUGUCGGGUAAGUUCCGACCCGCACGAAAGGCGUAACGAUUUGGGCACUGUCUCAACGAGAGACUCGGUGAAAUCAUAGUACCUGUGAAGAUGCAGGUUACCCGCGACAGGACGGAAAGACCCCGUGGAGCUUUACUGUAGCCUGAUAUUGAAAUUCGGCACAGCUUGUACAGGAUAGGUAGGAGCCUUUGAAACGUGAGCGCUAGCUUACGUGGAGGCGCUGGUGGGAUACUACCCUAGCUGUGUUGGCUUUCUAACCCGCACCACUUAUCGUGGUGGGAGACAGUGUCAGGCGGGCAGUUUGACUGGGGCGGUCGCCUCCUAAAAGGUAACGGAGGCGCUCAAAGGUUCCCUCAGAAUGGUUGGAAAUCAUUCAUAGAGUGUAAAGGCAUAAGGGAGCUUGACUGCGAGACCUACAAGUCGAGCAGGGUCGAAAGACGGACUUAGUGAUCCGGUGGUUCCGCAUGGAAGGGCCAUCGCUCAACGGAUAAAAGCUACCCCGGGGAUAACAGGCUUAUCUCCCCCAAGAGUUCACAUCGACGGGGAGGUUUGGCACCUCGAUGUCGGCUCAUCGCAUCCUGGGGCUGUAGUCGGUCCCAAGGGUUGGGCUGUUCGCCCAUUAAAGCGGUACGCGAGCUGGGUUCAGAACGUCGUGAGACAGUUCGGUCCCUAUCCGUCGUGGGCGUAGGAAAUUUGAGAGGAGCUGUCCUUAGUACGAGAGGACCGGGAUGGACAUACCUCUGGUGUACCAGUUGUCGUGCCAACGGCAUAGCUGGGUAGCUAUGUGUGGACGGGAUAAGUGCUGAAAGCAUCUAAGCAUGAAGCCCCCCUCAAGAUGAGAUUUCCCAACUUCGGUUAUAAGAUCCCUCAAAGAUGAUGAGGUUAAUAGGUUCGAGGUGGAAGCAUGGUGACAUGUGGAGCUGACGAAUACUAAUCGAUCGAAGACUUAAUCAA